GCAAGUCGAGCGGCAAGGGCCUUCGGGCCCCUAGAGCGGCGGACGGGUGAGUAACACGUGGACAAUCUGCCCCCCGGUCCGGGAUAGCCCAGGGAAACCUGGAUUAAUACCGGAUGCGAGCGCGAGCACACAGGUGUUUGCGGGGAAAGGCGCUUCGGCGCCGCCGGGGGAUGAGUCCGCGGCCCAUUAGCUAGACGGCGGGGUUAAGGCCCACCGUGGCGACGAUGGGUAGCCGGCCUGAGAGGGUGAUCGGCCACAUUGGAACUGAGACACGGUCCAGACUCCUACGGGAGGCAGCAGCUAAGAAUCUUCCGAAAUGGGCGAAAGCCUGACGGAGCGACGCCGCGUGAACGAUGAAGGCCGUGAGGUUGUAAAGUUCCUUUCCGGAGGAGGAUUAACCGGGGCAGGGAAUGGCCUUGCGAUGACGUGAAUCCCGGAAUAAGCCCCGGCUAACUACGUGCCAGCAGCCGCGGUAACACGUAGGGGGCGAGCGUUGUUCGGAAUCAUUGGGCGUGAAGGGCGUGCAGGCGGCCCUGCAAGUCCGGCGUGAAAUGCUCCGGCUCAACCCGGGAGACGCGCUGGAAACUGCGGGGCUGGAGUACAGGAGGGGAUGCCGGAAUUCCAGGUUUAGGGGUGAAAUCUGUAGAUAUCUGGAGGAACACCAAUGGCGAAGGCAGGCAUCUGGCCAUGUACUGACGCUGAGACGCGAAGGUGCGGGGAGCAACCAGGUUUAGAUACCCUGGUAUUCCGCACAGUGAACGAUUUGCACCAGGUGGCGGGGGGUCGACCCCCGGUACCGAAGCUAACGCAUUAAGUGCACCGCCUGGGGAGUAUGCUCGCAAGGGUGAAACUCAAAGGAAUUGACGGGGG
rnacentral:rRNA from 2 species